UCCAGACUCCUACGGGAGGCAGCAGUGGGGAAUAUUGGGCAAUGGGCGCAAGCCUGACCCAGCAACGACGCGUGAAGGAAGAAGGCUUUCGGGUUGUAAACUUCUUUUCUCAGGGACGAAGCAAGUGACGGUACCUGAGGAAUGAGCCACGGCUAACUACGUGCCAGCAGCCGCGGUAAUACGUAGGUGGCACGCGUUAUCCGGAUUUACUGGGUGUAAAGGGCGUGUAGGCGGGAAAGCAAGUCAGAUGUGAAAUCCAUGGGCUCAACCUGUGGCCUGCAUUUGAAACUGUUUUUCUUGAGUACUGGAGAGGCAGACGGAAUUCCUAGUGUAGCGGUGAAAUGCGUAGAUAUUAGGAGGAACACCAGUGGCGAAGGCGGUCUGCUGGACAGCAACUGACGCUGAGGCGCGAAAGCGUGGGGAGCAAACAGGAUUAGAUCCCCCUGUA
rnacentral:rRNA from 1 species